CCUUGUAAGUGAUUUCUAUGACUCUAGCUUCUAGUUUGGGAUCUUGGAUUUAUGGGUUUAACCUAGGGUUUUGUUUAAGAAAUUUUCUGUUUGUGUUCCAGAUUUGAGAUUCGGAUUUUCUCUUCCUCUUCUCAUUUGCUGUGUAUUUCCAUGGCUUGAAAGGGGACCAAACCAAGUAUGAAUGAUGAGACUGUGGAGCUAUGCACUGCUGAGGAGGGAGGGGCCGAUGCUUAGAGUUCCCUGUUGGUUCGGUUUUGAUGAUAAUGAUUAUGUUUUUAUGCCUUUAUGAUGGGUCCCAUGUUGGGACGUUUUGUUGGCUUGACUUUAAGACAAUAUGCCUUCGAGCAUGAUGUAAAUACUAUAGUGGGGUGAUGGUAAUGGUGUAACUUCUAUGGUGGGGUGACGGUAACCCCACAUAAGAAGGUUAAAUGCCUUUUUGUAUGUGUUGUAUGGACUGAUAUCCCUCUUAUUUAGAACUAGUUAUGUUUGAUGAAUAGAUGAUGGACUCUGAGAGUCCUUUAAUUA